rnacentral:sRNA from 1 species
ACCGGGCAUGGUGGCGUAUGCCUGUAGUCCCAGCUACUUGGGAGGUGGAGACAGGAGAAGCGCUUGAAUCCAGGAGGCAGAGGUUGCAGUGAGCUGAGAUUGCACCACUGCACUUCCGCCUGGGUGACAGAGCGAGACUCUGUCUUAA